rnacentral:lncRNA from 1 species
CUGGGGCGCUCAAUUCCAUAGUAGAAUUUAUUUCUAGGCUGCAAAAGGACAGUCACCUUUCUAAGAAGGCUUAGAGAAGCAAGUAUCCCUCAGGCUUCCCUAGAGUUGAAGUUAGGGACUGGUUAAGCAGAUAGCACGUAAUACAUUCAUUCCAACAUGUUCUAGGCCUUCAGGCAACUUUCCUGUUCAGUGUGCCUUGCAAAUUCCAGCAUCUCAAUUUCAUUGACUGUAGGUCUGCCUUCAAUUCUUCAUCCAAGCAAACUAUUACUAUUUACUUUCAGUGUGUUUAAACCAACACAAAUCCUGGCUGCUGAGAGGGCUACUCCUGGUAUCAAUCACUCUUUUAGUCAGAAAACAGAUGGCACGCCCUAAUGGGGUAAUUAAGGAAAGAUUAAUGUGGACACCAUUUUCGGCUUAAAGUGGCAAGAGAAAGGAAGAAUUACUACAUUUUGGAGAGAGCUAUGGCUUUAGGAAAAGACUACCCACUAGAAAUAUAAUCCGUGCCAACUUGCAGUCUAGCAGAAGUCAUUUGGAGGACUGAAACUUCAAACCUCUCUACCCGUUCCCCCAGCUGAUCUCCUGCUGGUGCCUCCCAGUGGCUGUGACCCAGUAUAUUAUAAAGAACAUAGUUCACUACCUUUUCCAGUUAUUGAUGAGUAGUAUUUGAUAUUUUCUUUCUCAUACUCUACAAACAUUCUCCCGUUUUUCAUUACACAGCUGAUAACCCUUGAUUUCACUGAGAAAACCAAAGCUUUCAGAAAACAAUGUUCACAGAGUCCCAAGACCAUAUUGACAUGUUUAGCUGUAUAUGUAUCCAGACCAUAGGCCUCCAUUCCUGUUGCCCAUAGACCAAUUUCCAUGUUUCUCUAUAAUCCACAACUCCUGAACUAGACGCCUUUAAUCUGCUCAAGCAUCUCUCUCCAGCUCUUCUCCCCUCUUUCUUUCAUAUCAUCAAUGUUUCUUUUUAGUUGUAUCAUUGUCAUCAACCCAUUGACAUAGUUAUUUUUCCCAUCAUAAAACUUCCUUAUCACCCUUCUCUUUCUAGAUACCAUCACACAUCUUUUCUCCUUUUUAUAGGAAAUCUCCACAACUGUAAUCUUACUUUUAGAGACUCACCUAUUCUUAUCUUUUAAGCCCUCCUAAGC